CGGACGGGUGAGGAAUACAUCGGAAUCUACUCUGUCGUGGGGGAUAACGUAGGGAAACUUACGCUAAUACCGCAUACGACCUACGGUGAAGCAGGGGAUCUUCGGACCUUGCGCGAUUGAAUGAGCCGAUGUCGGAUUAGCUAGUUGGCGGGGUAAAGGCCCACCAAGGCGACGAUCCGUAGCUGGUCUGAGAGGAUGAUCAGCCACACUGGAACUGAGACACGGUCCAGACUCCUACGGGAGGCAGCAGCU
rnacentral:rRNA from 1 species